rnacentral:rRNA from 1 species
AUUGAACGCUGGCGGCAGGCCUAACACAUGCAAGUCGAACGAGUGGCGGACGGGUGAGUAAUGUCUGGGAAACUGCCCGAUGUAGGGGGGUAACUACUGGAAACGGUAGCUACUACCGCAUACCAUCGGAUGUGCCCAGAUGGGAUUAGCUUGUAGGUGAGGUAACGGCUCACCUAGGCGACGAUCCCUAGCUGGUCUGGGAGGAUGACCAGCCACACGGGAACGGAGAAACGGUCAAGACUCCUACGGGAGGAAGCAGUGGGGAAUAUUGCAAAAUGGGCGAAAGCCUGAUGCAGCCAUGCCGCGUGGAGGAAGAAGGCCUUCGGGUUGUAAAGUACGUUCAGCGGGGAGGCGUUACCCGCAGAAGAAGCAACGGCUAACUCCGUGCCAGCCGCCGCGGUAAUUC